UACAGAGGUCCCAAGCGUUGUUCGGAUUCACUGGGCGUAAAGGGUGCGUAGGCGGUCGAGUAAGUCUGACGUGAAAUCUCCGGGCCUAACCCGGAAACUGCGUUGGAAACUACUUGGCUAGAGGAAUGGAGGGGAGACUGGAAUACUUGGUGUAGCAGUGAAAUGCGUAGAUAUCAAGUGGAACACCAGUGGCGAAGGCGGCACCCUGGACCGGCAUUGACGCUGAUGAGCGAAAGCCAGGGGAGCAAACGGG
rnacentral:rRNA from 1 species